GAUGAACGCUGGCGGCGUGCCUAAUACAUGCAAGUCGAGCGAACGGACGAGAAGCGUUCUUCUCUGAUGGUAGCGGCGGACGGGUGAGUAACACGUGGAUAACCUACCUAUAAUACUGGGAGAACUUCGGGAAACCGGAGCUAAUACCGGAUAAUAUUUUGAACCGCAGGGUGCAAAAGUGAAAGAGGGUCUGGCUGUCACUUAUAGAUGGAGCCGCGCUGCAUUAGCUAGUUGGUAAGGUAACGGCUUACCAAGGCAACGAUGCAUAGCCGACCUGAGAGGGUGAUCGGCCACACUGGAACUGAGACACGGUCCAGACUCCUACGGGAGGCAGCAGUGGGGAAUAUUCCGCAAUGGGCGCAAGCCUGAUGGAGCAAUGCCGCGUGAGUGAUGAAGGUCUUCGGAUUGUAAAGCUCUGUUAUUAGGGAAGAACAUAUGUGUAUGUAAAUGUGCACAUCUUGACGGUACCUAAUCAGAAAGCAACGGCUAACUACGUG
rnacentral:rRNA from 1 species